GAGAAAAAGGAUAUCCAUCUUUAAAUGAAAUAUGGCACAGGACAAGUUCUAUGGAGAAACUCAAACAUGGCUUAAAAUUAUCUGCUGGGAGGACCAUGAGCUCAUGAGAAGCCAGGAAGGAUUGAGGGAACAGGAUCAUGUUCUAAAGAUGAGAAGCCACGCUAUUACCAGCAGGUUGGAAGAUGAAUAAAGGCACCGUCGAGGCCUCUGAUG
rnacentral:lncRNA from 1 species